GAGGAAAAGAAAUCAACCGAGAUUCCCCCAGUAGCGGCGAGCGAACGGGGAGGAGCCCAGAGCCUGAAUCAGCAUGUGUGUUAGUGGAAGCGUCUGGAAAGGCGCGCGAUACAGGGUGACAGCCCCGUACACAAAAGCGCAUGUGCUGUGAGCUCGAUGAGUAGGGCGGGACACGUGGUAUCCUGUCUGAAUAUGGGGGGACCAUCCUCCAAGGCUAAAUACUCCUGACUGACCGAUAGUGAACCAGUACCGUGAGGGAAAGGCGAAAAGAACCCCGGCGAGGGGAGUGAAAAAGAACCUGAAACCGUGUACGUACAAGCAGUGGGAGCACCCUUUGGGGUGUGACUGCGUACCUUUUGUAUAAUGGGUCAGCGACUUAUAUUCUGUAGCAAGGUUAACCGUAUAGGGGAGCCGGAGGGAAACCGAGUCUUAACCGGGCGUUAAGUUGCAGGGUAUAGACCCGAAACCCGGUGAUCUAGCCAUGGGCAGGUUGAAGGUUGGGUAACACUAACUGGAGGACCGAACCGACUAAUGUUGAAAAAUUAGCGGAUGACCUGUGGCUGGGGGUGAAAGGCCAAUCAAACCGGGAGAUAGCUGGUUCUCCCCGAAAGCUAUUUAGGUAGCGCCUCGUGAAUUCAUCUCCGGGGGUAGAGCACUGUUUCGGCUAGGGGGCCAUCCCGGCUUACCAACCCGAUGCAAACUGCGAAUACCGGAGAAUGUUAUCACGGGAGACACACGGCGGGUGCUAACGUCCGUCGUGAAGAGGGAAACAACCCAGACCGCCAGCUAAGGUCCCAAAGUCAUGGUUAAGUGGGAAACGAUGUGGGAAGGCCCAGACAGCCAGGAUGUUGGCUUAGAAGCAGCCAUCAUUUAAAGAAAGCGUAAUAGCUCACUGGUCGAGUCGGCCUGCGCGGAAGAUGUAACGGGGCUAAACCAU
rnacentral:rRNA from 1 species